AACAAAUUAUAAAAUUAUAAUAAUUAUAUUUCAGUAAUUGCACAUUGGACAUCGAAAUUUUAUAAUUUGGAACAAGUGUCACGAUUUAUAUUUACAAAUGCAGAAAUAGUAAAGAAAAAACGUCCGCUUCUUGUACACUGUCAAGCUGCAGUUUCAGAUAAAUCCAUGUAAAUCGCGAACAUCCGCGAUGCUAUGUCACCAUUCUGAUAUUUCGACCGAAUUCCAAAAGCGACAGCUGCGAUCGACGUAAAUCUUUGGCGCAAUCGGCUCUUCCUGUUUGUAAUGCACCGAACACAUUUUUUCAGAUACCUUUGGACUACAUCGCGAUUUGCGCGUGUAAUUUCUAAUAAGUAUAACAUGCUAACUUUUCGUCAUCGUGAAUCGCCGCUUCCUCGUUUCAUUAUAAAAUGAUUCUUAUUCUGAUCUGAUAACAUCGAGAUGAAUAUUUGGAAUUGAUGAAACAUACAGGUAUGGAUAAACAGAAUUGAACAACAUGAAGCAAUUUAGAAGUCAUGGCAAAGCAACGAUUCGGAAAUAUGGAAUAAAUCGAGAGAU